CCUACGGGAGGCAGCAGUAAGGAAUAUUGGACAAUGCUCGCAAGAGCGAUCCAGCCAUGCCGCGUGCAGGAAGAAUGCCCUAUGGGUAGUAAACUGCUUUUGAACUAGAGAAAACCCCAGUACGUGUACUGGGCUGAUAGUAUAGUUAGAAUAAGCAUCGGCUAACUUCGUGCCAGCAGCCGCGGUAAGACGAAGGAUGCAAGCGUUAUCCGGAUUCAUUGGGUUUAAACGGGAGCGUAGGUGGACUGAUAAGUCAGUGGUGAAAUCUCCGAGCUUAACUCGGAAAUUGCCAUUGAUACUGUUGGUCUUAGAGUACAGUUGCUGUGGGCGGAAUAUGACAUGUAGUGGUGAAAUACAUAGAGAUGUCAUAGAACACCGAUUGCGAAGGCAGCUCACAAAGCUGUAACUGACACUGAGCUCGAAAGUGCGGGGAUCAAACAGGAUUAGACUACCCUGGUAGUCCGCACCGUAAACGAUGAUUACUCGCUGCUAGGGGCAACCUUAGUGGCUUAGCGAAAGCGAUAGAAUCCACGUGGAGACGCGCGACGGUAGAAGUAAGUAAGUAGAGAGNGAGAGNGCGACGGACGACGACGAGGGAGGAGG
rnacentral:rRNA from 1 species